rnacentral:lncRNA from 1 species
ACUCCGGGCUUUGUCUGUGUCCAGCCUAAUAGAUGAAUGUCACUGGGCUUUUCAUUACAAGAUGAACCUGCUGCUGGAUGCCCCGGGCUUUAUCUGCAUCAAAUUUUCAAGGCCACGUGUUCCACAGAGAUCUGCCAGGGUAACUACAACGCGGACACAUCUACCUUCACCUCCAGUGACCUAGCUCUGUGGUUGAGAAGCAUGGCAGCAGACUACACUGUCUCCUAUUGUGGUCUCUUCAUCCUAACAAUCUGGAUCUACUUGAGCAGUCUCUUUUCAGUAUGUAAUUGUGCAGUCUCAGCUUCUAGGGUAAAUUUGCCUGGAUUUUAUCACAAUGGAGAGCCCACAAGAACUAACAAGAACUAAAACCUGCGACAAUGAAAGAUUAUUCUUUACAGUUUUUCAUUCCAGGACAUGAGACCUUAAGAAAACACCUAUGUCAUGGGACUGACGAUGAAACAUAGGAAGCUCAUAAGAAGAAGCUUUAGUGACAGCUUUUGCAAAUCAUUGCCUAUCCACUGGUAGAAUAAGGCAGCAGUACAGUUUAAGACUGUUGAGCAAUUAGAUAUGUUUGGUCACUACUGGUCUGAUAUGGAUUAACUGCGAGUUUAGAUGAGAUGAUCGAUGUUCAUUUUUAAUCUUACUGCCUACUAUCUCCAAGUUGUGGCGUUUGGACUCUCAUUAUGCCAAGAGUUGUAUGCAUAUUCGUAUGAUAUGCCACAGAAAUGUAACAGAAAAAGGAUUGGGGGUAAGGAAACUCUUAUUCCAUGCAUCUAGUUAUGAAACAGAAGUGUACGGGUAAAGAUUCAGAUCCCAAAGUUCCUGAAAAUAUACAUAGAACAAUUUUUAUUAACUUCAUCGAGUCAUGAAUUAAGUCUUAACUAAUUUGUUCAAGAUCAAAAGGGGGAAGUCUGAGGUAGUCUGAAAACUGAAUUUGUUAUUCUUCGUCCAGGUCUUUAAAGUGGUGACCUGCUGUGUUCUCUAGUCCUGGUCCUGUCUUGCUGUAUAUCUUUGUAUACAGAAGGAAAAAUUAAUUCAGGAAAUACCUCUCAACAGAUUGAUUCAGGGUUUCAAAUGAUCCAUUCACCAGUCUUUGGAAGUUUCUCAUAACUUUCCCUGUAUACUACUAAAGUUUGCCAUUGGGUGCCCAUUCACUUCACGUAAUUAUAAGCAUCUUACUUCAUUUUUGGAACUUCAUAGCCACAAUAGUUGCUUGUUGAAAGCACCAUCUUUUGUGCUUUUUGUGCUUCAAAGUUCAGAUUGGGUCACUGAAGCAACUGGACCAAAUCCAUAAAGAACU